CAGGAUGAACGCUGGCGGCGUGCUUAACACAUGCAAGUCGAACGAUGAAGCCCAGCUUGCUGGGUGGAUUAGUGGCGAACGGGUGAGUAACACGUGAGUAACCUGCCCCCGACUCUGGGAUAAGCCCGGGAAACUGGGUCUAAUACCGGAUAUGACCUCGCACCGCAUGGUGCGGGGUGGAAAGAUUUAUCGGUGGGGGAUGGACUCGCGGCCUAUCAGCUUGUUGGUGAGGUAAUGGCUCACCAAGGCGACGACGGGUAGCCGGCCUGAGAGGGUGACCGGCCACACUGGGACUGAGACACGGCCCAGACUCCUACGGGAGGCAGCAGUGGGGAAUAUUGCACAAUGGGCGAAAGCCUGAUGCAGCGACGCCGCGUGAGGGAUGACGGCCUUCGGGUUGUAAACCUCUUUCAGUAGGGAAGAAGCGAAAGUGACGGUACCUGCAGAAGAAGCGCCGGCUAACUACGUGCCAGCAGCCGCGGUAAUACGUAGGGCGCAAGCGUUAUCCGGAUUUAUUGGGCGUAAAGAGCUCGUAGGCGGUUUGUCGCGUCUGCCGUGAAAGUCCGAGGCUCAACCUCGGAUCUGCGGUGGGUACGGGCAGACUAGAGUGAUGUAGGGGAGACUGGAAUUCCUGGUGUAGCGGUGAAAUGCGCAGAUAUCAGGAGGAACACCGAUGGCGAAGGCAGGUCUCUGGGCAUUUACUGACGCUGAGGAGCGAAAGCAUGGGGAGCGAACAGGAUUAGAUACCCUGGUAGUCCAUGCCGUAAACGUUGGGCACUAGGUGUGGGGGACAUUCCACGUUUUCCGCGCCGUAGCUAACGCAUUAAGUGCCCCGCCUGGGGAGUACGGCCGCAAGGCUAAAACUCAAAGGAAUUGACGGGGGCCCGCACAAGCGGCGGAGCAUGCGGAUUAAUUCGAUGCAACGCGAAGAACCUUACCAAGGCUUGACAUGUGCCAGACCGCUCCAGAGAUGGGGUUUCCCUUCGGGGCUGGUUCACAGGUGGUGCAUGGUUGUCGUCAGCUCGUGUCGUGAGAUGUUGGGUUAAGUCCCGCAACGAGCGCAACCCUCGUUCCAUGUUGCCAGCACGUAGUGGUGGGGACUCAUGGGAGACUGCCGGGGUCAACUCGGAGGAAGGUGGGGAUGACGUCAAAUCAUCAUGCCCCCAUUAUGGUUCUUGGGCUUCACGCAUGCUACAAUGGCCGGUACAAUGGGUUGCGAUACUGUGAGGUGGAGCUAAUCCCUAAAAGCCGGUCUCAGUUCGGAUUGGGGUCUGCAACUCGACCCCAUGAAGUCGGAGUCGCUAGUAAUCGCAGAUCAGCAACGCUGCGGUGAAUACGUUCCCGGGCCUUGUACACACCGCCCGUCAAGUCACGAAAGUUGGUAACACCCGAAGCCGAUGGCCUAACCACCUUGUGUGGGGGGAGUCGUCGAAGGUGGGACUGGCGAUUGGGACU
rnacentral:rRNA from 1 species